UAGUCCACGCCGUAAACGAUGAUAACUAGCUGUCCGAACCCACGGGGUUUGGGUGGCGCAGCUAACGCAUUAAGUUAUCCGCCUGGGGAGUACGGUCGCAAGAUUAAAACUCAAAGGAAUUGACGGGGGCCUGCACAAGCGGUGGAGCAUGUGGUUUAAUUCGACGCAACGCGCAGAACCUUACCAGCUUUUGACAUCCUGGUCGCGGAUUUGGGAGACCAUUUCCUUCAGUUCGGCUGGACCAGUGACAGGUGCUGCAUGGCUGUCGUCAGCUCGUGUCGUGAGAUGUUGGGUUAAGUCCCGCAACGAGCGCAACCCUCAUCCUUAGUUGCCAGCAUUUAGUUGGGCACUCUAGAGAAACUGCCGGUGACAAACCGGAGGAAGGUAAGGAUGACGUCAAGUCCUCAUGGCCCUUACGGGUAGGGCUACACACGUGCUACAAUGGACGGUACAAAGAGUUGCUAAGCCGCGAGGUAGAGCUAAUCUCAGAAAGCCGUUCUCAGUUCGGAUUG
rnacentral:rRNA from 1 species